CAAAUCUAUAGAAAACGCAGACGAAUGGCAUAAAAAUGAUACAAAUGAACAUGCUGUAAAUGAGAAUAUUGAUAUGAGGUUUAUAGAAGAAGGUAAUAAUAAUGUAAACGCAAAAAAUGGCAAUGUUGAACAUACUAAAAAAAACGACUCUAAUAAAAAUGUAAAUGUAAAUACUAACAGUAAUAAUAAUAAUAAUAAUAACAAAACAGUAAAAGCAAAUACUGCUACAUCUAAUAUGAACAUUUACGCCAAUACGAAGGAUGGUGCACAAAAAAAAACAGUGUUUUUGGUAAACGAAAGUGAAAAAUAUCGUACUAAAAAGGUUUAUAAUGAGUGGAAAUAUGAUCUUGACGGUAUUAAAACUCAAAAUUUGGCUUUUCCGAACACUUACUUACAAUUAUGUAUACACGAUUUAAUAUAUAUGCCAGAUAAUACAAAUGAGGAAGAACUAGAAAAAAUACUAAUAAAUCUUGUUUCUCAUGAAGUACCUUUAUUAUAUGAGAAAAUAACAAACAGAGAUUAUGCAAAUGAUGAUGAUUUUUGUUUUGAUGUUAAUGUGACAUUUGCUUAUUAUAAAGAUAUAAUUACAGGAGGAAAUAUAGUAUUAUACAAUAAUAUAAUAACAGUGGAAAAUAAUAUAAAAAAAAUAUUUACAAAGUAUGACAAUAACCAUGAACGUAGACAUUGGUGGGAAAGACGCGGAAAUUAUAUAUGGGACGCAGUUAUUGCCGCAAUUAAAAAAAUUGAUAAUGGUAGAAUAAUUUGUGAUAGAUACAAAAAUUUUGAAAAUUUGCCACAAUAUGAGCGAUUGCUUAUAGAAUUUGCCAUACAAGUUAAUAAAGAACGAACUAUUAACAGAAAUUUAUUAUUAAAUGCAUGUGCAAUAGGUAAGAGUUUAUUUUCAAAUAAAAAUACAUGCAUUAAUGAAACACUAUGCAAACAAGAAUAUGAAAAAUAUAAAACAUGGGUUAUAAAAACUAUGAAAAUUUUUGAUUUGUUUACAACUAAGCUCCGCACCGUUCAAACUAAUAGUCAAUAUAUUAAAAAACCAUAUGAUGAAAUUCUUAUUGAUCAGGUUGAACAGCUUUAUAAAGAUCUAAGUGAAACAAAUUUGGAUACAUAUUUAAAUUUAUAUGAUGAAACGUGUACAAAAUUAUGUAUUCCAUUUAUUCGUGAGUAUGCAAAUAUUCAGUGUAUGGUAGGUAAACCACAUCUAAAACAAUCAGAAAAGUAUGAUUUAGCAUUAUAUAAAGAUUUAGUCAGUUUGUCAAAUGAAAAACAUACGCAAAAUAAUAAGGAUAAAAAAACAAAUGAAGAGGCUCCUACAUCAGAAACGGAUAAAAACACAAAUGAGACAACUAAUAAUGUAAAGGUAGAAAAUACAUCUACACAAACUGUAAAUAAUUUAACAAGUAGCAGAUCAGAAGUUGAUAAAAAAUUUGAUGAUUUAUUGAAAUUACAUGACCUCAAUAUUACAGAUCUCUAUUCAAUGAGUACAAAUAUAGAGGACCAUACUGAUCAUGAAACACAUGAAGAUACGGAUCACGAAGUGGCGAAUAACUCUCAUAAUGAAACAAAAGAAGUACCACAUGAUUCUGUUGAUACUGAUAAUGUUACUAUUAACAGUGUUCAUACAAAUAGUGUUGAUACGAAUAAGGCUAUUAAUAAGAGUAAUAUAAACAUAACUAAUGCUAAUGAUGCAGCUAAAAUAGCGAUUAAAGCUGCUGAAGAUGCGUUACGAGCAGCAAAAUAUGCACACGAAUCAGCAAAUAGUGCAUUACAUUCAGCCGAUGAUGCCAAAGCAUUAGUAAAGAGUGUGAAUACAUCCGUUGAAGAAGCACAAAAUAUUACAGAAAAAAGUAUAAAACAAAUAAAAAACGUAUUAGGUAAUAUAAAUACACAAAAUAGUGUAAAUGAUGUUAACGAAAAUGUUGAAAAAAAUGUUCAUUUGGCAAUGGAUGUAGCUAAAAAAGCAGAAGAAGCUCUUGUAGCAAACGAUAAAGAAUCAUUAGUUAAAGCAGAAAUAGAAGCUGAGAAAGUUGUACAAGAUUUAACUGCUAUAACUGAAAAAGCUGUUGACACAGCAAAAAAUUUAAUAACAAAGUCUAACCAAACAGACGAUUCUAGUAAACUUGACAUUGCUAUUGAAGCAUUAAAUUCUUCAAAUAAAGCCAAUAAAGCAUUAGGAAUAGCAAAAGAAGCGUUAAGCAGUAUACAAAGCAGCUUAUUAAAUCAAUCUACUAAUUUUAGUGACACUCAAGAUGAAACAUUAAGUGAUACACAUGAUUAUAAAUUGAGUGAGUUUGGAAAUACUAACGAUACGUUUAAAACUGAUAAUCUUAGCGAUCAUAGUGAUAAUAGCGAUUAUAGUGAUAAUAGAGAUCAUAGAGAUCAUAGUAAUAAUAGAGAUCAUAGUGAUAAUAGCGAUCAUAGCGAUUAUAGUAAUAAUAGCGAUCAUAGUAAUAAUAGAGAUCAUAGUGAUAAUAGUGAUACAAAUAAUUUAUCAACUGAUAAAUUAAGAAAUGUUAAUACACAUAAUAGCAUUUUGAAUAAUUCUAAUCAAAGAGAUAAAGAAAUUGAUUAUAUGAAAUAUAAUAAUAAUAUAAAUAAUAAUAAUAAUAAUCAACAAAAUACAGAAUAUAAAAAUAUGGAAAUGUUUGGUAACUCACAUAAGCCAGAUGAUUAUAAUAUUGAAUUUUAUGAUCGUCCAUAUGAAGACAAUAAUAAUGAAAAUAACAAUUAUGAUGAUAAUAACAGUAAAAUAAACCCCCCCUCACGCACAAAUGUAUUUAAAAACGCUAUUGAAGCUAAAAGAAAUAUAAACAAAAUGUCAAAAGAAAACCCAUGUAGUAAUAUUAAAUCAUUAAAUUAUUGUAAAACAUUAAACGACAGAUUUAAUAAUGACACAUGUGAUUAUGAGGAUGCAUUAAAUUUAUGCUGUGCUAUUUCAGAUUACUGUAUGCAGUUUUUUGAAAGCAAUUCAAAUGAAUAUAAAGAAUGUAUAAAUGAUGAAUUUUAUUCUCCUGUAUAUAAAUGCUUUAAGAAAAAACGAUCCUCAAGUAUGUUACAUUAUAUCAUAAAUAAUAAAAUAAAAUACAUAUAGAAUUGUGUAGUACUAUAUAAUGUAGUUUAAUAUUGUGUAGUGUAAUAUUGUGUAGUGUAAUAUAGUGUAGUGUAAUAUAGUGUAGUGUACUAUAGUGUAGUGUGUUAUAGUGCAACGUGUACCCACAAAAACAACAAAUUUAUGUAUAAUAAAAUAAACCACGUAGCAUUAUUAAAAAUAAUA
rnacentral:lncRNA from 1 species